rnacentral:rRNA from 1 species
UACGAAGGGGGCUAGCGUUGCUCGGAAUGACUGGGCGUAAAGGGCGCGUAGGCGGAUGGCACAGUCAGAUGUGAAAUUCCCGGGCUUAACCUGGGGGCUGCAUUUGAUACGUGCGGACUUGAGUGCGGAAGAGGGUCGUGGAAUUCCCAGUGUAGAGGUGAAAUUCGUAGAUAUUGGGAAGAACACCGGUGGCGAAGGCGGCGACCUGGUCCGAUACUGACGCUGAGGCGCGAAAGCGUGGGGAGCGAACAGG